rnacentral:lncRNA from 1 species
GAAGGAAACUUGGAGAAGAAGUGCGGGAAGAGAACCUAGACAAUACUGAUAACUAACUGCCUACCCAUUUUCCUCAUAUUCCCUGCUAUUUGCAACCACUCUGGACCUUCUUCCUGAUCAUUCUUGUGCUGAGUCACCCUUCCAAAUGAAAUCAGCUAGUCUUCUACUGGGUUGUUUAAUUCUAUUACUUCUUCUUAGAUUAGUUCCAGACCUAAUAUUCUCUUCAAACGACUCCACCCCAGGCCCACACAUUUCUUCAUCUGAUUCUAGGCCCAAUUCUUGAACUGCAGCUCUAACUUCUCAUCCUCCUGAGAAUUUGAUUAAUUGAUUUCAUUUUAUUUUCAUAUCCAAAAUUUGUCAUGAACAAAUUAAUAGCACAUCAGUUGGGACCAACUAUGUCCUUCAUGUCUUCCUGUCUGCGCAAGCUAAAUCAACAUGCUUCAUUUUCUACGUUCCUUUUUAGGGGGUAAAAUUCAUUCUGCAAAGUUGGUUCAGUGGUUCCUCUAGAAGUUGAUAUAAUAUGAAUUAAUGCGUUAGAAAGGGAGGCAGAGAAUUCCAGGAAUGUAGUCUUCUUCUUUUUCAUCAUCCAGGAAUGUAAACAAAAUUUGCAAAUAUUCUACUAGAUGACUUAGCUUAAUUAAAAUGAAAAAGAAAUAUAAUAGUUCUAUAUUUUAAAUAGAAGAUUGGUACAAUUAUAUGUCUUCUCUUCUUUCCUUAAUUUUAAUUUGCUUCCACAUAUUUCAACCCCAAUAGGCCAAUACAAUGUAAAGGUUUUUUUGGUUGGUCUUAUGACAGGCUGCAAUUGGCGAAGCCAUAAUAAAAGGUAUAGGUUCGGUAGAACAUAGUUUAGCUCAAAACCUGUAGUUUAAUAAAGAAAUUCACUUUAUAUACAACAAUGAACCAAAUAAGGCAAAAAAGUUAUGGCCAAAAUGCAUAAACUUAAAAUCUUGAAUCCAACUAUAUUUAACGCAGCCCAACUUCAUAUUAUAACAAGUAUGCUUCAAAAUGCGAACUAGGUUUUAAUUAAUAUUGCUCCAAGAGAUGAGAAGAAUCAUUUUAUUACGAAUUACAGCUUGAUGAUGGGUUGCUUCCAUAGGAUCUAUCGUCCAACUUGCACAAUAGAAAUAUCUUUAAGAGAAUAUGCACAAUAAAUAAUUGGAGAGAAAAGAGAGCAGACUAAAGAUGAAAGUAACAGAAGAAAGAGUGGAGAAUUUUGAAAAAGAAAUUUGAGCUGAGGAUAAUAUAUUGAUAUUCCCUUUGGUUGGCACACGAAAGAGAUACGUCUAUCUACUUAUCUGCAAAUUUGACAAGAGUAAUGGAUGAUGACAUUCAUGCUUCAUCCAUUACAUAAAGAUUGGGACAGAUUUACCUUUUCAAUCAUAGGUGCAAAUGCACCUUUUACUAUCGAAUCUCAUAUAUGAAAAUUUUCAAGCAUACAUAGGAAUCCUUUUAGAAUAGAUAUAUAAUAUAUGUAUAAUAAGUAUGUCUUUUUUAUCACAAUAGAAUAGUAAACGUAAUGAUACUAUGGGCGUACUCUUACCGGAAAUGGCAUGGACCAUGUGUCAUUUUAAUUAUUGGAAUUGUUCCAAUAUUGGAAUGCCAGUCGCAAAAUAUUGGAAUUGUUCCAAAGUUUUAC